rnacentral:rRNA from 1 species
AGUGAACGCUGGCGGUAGGCCUAACACAUGCAAGUCGAACGGCCGCACAGUAAGAGCUUGCUCUUACGGGUGGCGAGUGGCGGACGGGUGAGGAAUACAUCGGAAUCUACUUUUUCGUGGGGGAUAACGUAGGGAAACUUACGCUAAUACCGCAUACGACCUACGGGUGAAAGCAGGGGAUCUUCGGACCUUGCGCGAUUGAAUGAGCCGAUGUCGGAUUAGCUAGUUGGCGGGGUAAAGGCCCACCAAGGCGACGAUCCGUAGCUGGUCUGAGAGGAUGAUCAGCCACACUGGAACUGAGACACGGUCCAGACUCCUACGGGAGGCAGCAGUGGGGAAUAUUGGACAAUGGGCGCAAGCCUGAUCCAGCCAUACCGCGUGAGUGAAGAAGGCCUUCGGGUUGUAAAGCCCUUUUGUUGGGAAAGAAAAGCAGCAGGUUAAUACCCCGCUGUUCUGACGGUACCCAAAGAAUAAGCACCGGCUAACUUCGUG